AUUGAACGCUGGCGGCAGGCCUAACACAUGCAAGUCGAGCGGUAGCGGGAUCCAGCUUGCUGGAUUGCCGACGAGCGGCGGACGGGUGAGUAACGCGUAGGAAUCUACCGAGUAGUGGGGGACAACCAGUGGAAACGCUGGCUAAUACCGCAUACGCCCUACGGGGGAAAGCAGGGGAUCUUCGGACCUUGCGCUAUUUGAUGAGCCUGCGUGAGAUUAGCUUGUUGGUGAGGUAAGGCUCACCAAGGCGACGAUCUCUAGCUGGUCUGAGAGGAUGAUCAGCCACACUGGAACUGAGACACGGUCCA
rnacentral:rRNA from 1 species